rnacentral:rRNA from 1 species
AUUAAGCCAUGCAUGUAUAAGUAUAAACGCUUUAAGCGUGAAACCGCGAACGGCUCAUUACAACAGCUAUAAUUUACUUGAUCUUGACAAACUUACAUGGAUAACUGAGGUAAUUCUUGAGCUAAUACAUGCACCAAAGCUUUGACCGUAAGGGAAGAGCGCAUUUAUUAGAACAAAACCAAACGGCUUCGGCUGUUCCCAGUUGAAUCAGAAUAACUCAGCUGAUCGUACGGUCUUGCACCGACGACGUGUCUUUCAAGUAUCUGCUUUAUCAACUUUCGAUGGUAGGGUAUCUGCCUACCAUGGUGGUGACGGAUAACGGAGGAUCAGGGUUCGACUCCGGAGAAGGGGCCUGAGAAAUGGCCACUACGUCUAAGGAUGGCAGCAGGCGCGCAAAUUACCCACUCUCAGAAUUUGGAGGAGGUAGUGACGAGAAAUAACGAGGUUGAUCUCUUCUGAGGCCAACCAUCGGAAUGGGUACAAUUUAAACCCUUUAACGAGUAUCUAUGAGAGGGCAAGUCUGGUGCCAGCAGCCGCGGUAAUUCCAGCUCUCAAAAUGCAUAGAAUUAUUGCUGCGGUUAAAAAGCUCGUAGUUGGAUCUGCAGCCGGAGCUCCGGUCCAUCUUCGGAUGUGUACUGGAUGUCUUCGGCUUUCUGACAGUGUUCGGCUCUGUGCCUCUAACCAGGUGUGGAUGUCCGAUACUGUAAGUUUACUUUGAAUAAAUCAGAGUGCUCUAAACAGGCGUUUUGCUUGAAUGAUUGUGCAUGGAAUAAUAGAAGAGGAUUUCGGUUCUAUUUUAUUGGUUUUAUAGACUGAGAUAAUGGUUAACAGAGACAAACGGGGGCAUUUGUAUGGCUACGUGAGANGU